rnacentral:lncRNA from 1 species
GCUAGCACCAGACAAAGUUAAAUUGUCUCAAAGAAUCGUCACGGAGCGGAUAACUGACAUGGCAUAAGAUAUCGGAAAAACAUUUAAGGACUCCGCAAGAAAUUUUGAGUUUUUCUCUUUGGCAUGUGAUGAAAGAAAUGACAUAACAAAUACCGCCCAAUUUGCCAUUUUUGUGUGUGGGAUUACCGCUGAGUUUGACACAAGGGAGGAAUUGCUGUCUUUGGAAGCCAUGCAUGGCACCAUCAGAGGUGAUGACUUGUUUGAGAGACUUGUCUCGACUAUGAGUAAAUUUGAGCUACGGUUUGAAAAAUUAAGUGGCCUUACUACAGAUGGAGCGCCAGCCAUGGUUGGCUCGAAAAAGGGGUUAACCGCAUUAGUGAAAAAAUCUAUGAUUUGUCUCAGUCUUGAUCCAAGUGAUUUAAUUGUAUGCAACUGCAUCAUGCAUCAAGAAAGUCUGUGUGCACAGUCCCUGAAGCUGAACAACAUAACAGAAACUGUAGUGUCGACCAUCAAUUUAAUCAAAAGCAAACAGCUGAACAACCGCCAGUUUAAGGAGCUAUAGAAUGAUCUUGAAUCGGAGUAUGGUGAUCCGGUUUACCACCGUGAGGUGCGAUGGUUGAGCCUUGGACGAAGUAUGAGGAUGAAGUAAAACAAUUCAUGGAGAUGAAGGGGAAUACUGUCGUGGAACUGAGUGAUGACAAGUGGAUGUGUGAUUUGGCCUUCAUGGUGGAAAUAACCAAGUAUCUGUCUAACUUGAACGCCAAGGGCCGAACCAGCUUCUAAGCUAUCUGCUGUCAAACGUGAAAUGGUUUGAAGCAAAAUUAAAGCUGUGGCAAGUCCAACUAGAAAGGGGUAACACAGUGCAUUUUCCUACUCUGCAAGGACAAGAGCCUGAGAUUAUGUUGGAAUAUGCCGGUGAGUGUGGAAAGCUCACGAAGGCAUUUUGGGAGCGGUUUAAGGAUGUGAAAGUAAACAACUGGAUUUGAACAUAUUUGCAACCCCAUUUAACGUCGAACCAGCGGAUUUGCCGGAUGGCCUACAACACAAAGUAAUUCAGCUGCAAAGCAAUGACGAGCUCAAAGCCAGGUGGGGUGUGUCACUUGAGUGGGUUGAGUCACUGACAUGGUCUUCCUGUCUGGGUUGGCGCCCCCCCUUGGGUUGUGCCGUGGCGGAGAUCUUUGUGGGCUAUACUCGGCCUUGUCUCAGGAUGGUAAGUUGGUGGUUGAAGAUAUCCCUCUAGUGGUGUGGGGGCUGUGCUUUGGCUAAGUGGGUGGGGUUAUAUCCUUCCUGUUUGGCCCUGUCCGGGGGUAUCGUCGGAUGGGGCCACAGUGUCUCCUGACCCCUCCUGUCUCAGCUUCCAGUAUUUAUGCUGCAGUAGUUUAUGUGUCGGGGGGCUAGGGCCAGUCUGCUAUAUCUGGAGUAUUUCUCCUGUCUUAUCCAGUGUCCUGGGUGAAUUUAAGUAUGCUCUCUCUAAUUCUCUCUUUCUUUCUCUCUUUCUUUCUUUCUCUCUCUCGGAGGACCUGAGCCCUAGGACCAUGCCUCAGGACUACCUGACAUGAUGACUCCUUGCUGUCCCCAGUCCACCUGGCCGUGUUGCUGCUCCAGUUUCAACUGUUCUGCCUGCGGCUAUGGAACCCUGACCUGUUCACCAGACGUGCUACGUGUCCCAGACCUGCUGUUUUCAACUCUCUAGAGACAGCAGGAGCGGUAGAGAUACUCUCAAUGAUCGGCUAUGAAAAGCCAACUGACAUUUACUCUUGAGGUGCUGAUUUGUUACACCCUCGACAACUACUGUGAUUAUUAUUAUUUGACCAUGCUGGUCAUUUAUGAACAUUUGAACAUCUUGGCCAUGUUCUGUUAUAAUCUCCACCCGGCACAGCCAGAAGAGAACUGGCCACCCCUCAUAGCCUGGUUCCUCUCUAGGUUUCUUCCUAGGUUUUGACCUUUCUAGGGAGUUUUUCCUAGCCACCGUGCUUCUACACCUGCAUUGCUUACUGUUUGGGGUUUUAGGCUGGGUUUCUGUACAGCACUUUGAGGUAUCAGCUGAUGUAAGUCGCUCUGGAUAAGAGCGUCUGCUAAAUGACUUAAAUGUAAAUGUAAAUGUAAAUGUAAGAAGGGCUAUAUAAAUAAAUUUGAUCUGAUUUGAUUUUAAUUAAAUGAGGAUUAGCAUUUUGCAACCAGGAGCAAACAUUUAUUGGGAACAGAAAUAUUUAAAGUGGAUGCUAUGAAAUUCAAUUUGACAUAUGGUAUGGCCACUCCUCCCCAUUUCUGUAAUCUGUCACAUUUAAAAUACAUUAGAUAUAAUUAUAUAGCCUGAUAUACAGCACCCCCUUUUGCCCUCAGAACAGCCUCACAAGGUGUCGAAAGCGUUCCACAGGGAUGUUGGCCCAUAUUGACUCCAAUGCGUCCCACAGUGUAAAGUUGGCUGGAAGUCCUUUUGGUGGUGGACCAUUUUUGAUACACACGGGAAACUGUUUAACGUAAAAAACAGUGCAAUAGUUGUUGACACACUCAAACCAGUGCGCCUGGCACCUACUACCAUACGCUGUUCAAAGGCACUUAAAAAUGUUGUCUUGCCCAUUCAUACUCUGAAUGGCGCACAUACACAAUACAUGUCUUAAUUGUCUCAAGGCUAAAAACGAUUCCCUGUCUCAUCUACACUGAUUGCAGUGGAUUUAAAAAGUGAUAUCAUUAAGGGAUCAUAGCUUUCAUCUGGAUUCACCUGGUCCAGUCUAUGUCAUGAAAGAGCAGGUGUUCCUAAUGUUUUGUACACUCAGUGUACAUUAUAUGGACGGACUUCAGAUAAGGCCUAUCUGUAAAAGGUGGUCAGGGGCAAUGGUCGGAUAAAUCAGUGGCAUAGCCAAGAAUUCGUUGGUGGGUGGGCCUGCAGAAACUUGGGAGGGGGAAAGCGACUAACUUCCAGAUAUUUUACAGAUUUUACCGGGGGCAAAGAGAAAAAUUUGCAAUUUUAUAGCUAAUCUCAUGCUAUUUUUACAAUUUUUGCCAUGAUGCUGAGAGAAAAUGUUACUGUUUUAAAGCAAAUUUCCUGCAAUUCUACAUAUUUUGCCAUGGGCAGAGAGAUAAAUGUGCAGUUUUAUAGCUUAUCGCAUGCUAUUCUACUGUCAUGCCCUGAUAUGAUUCACCAGUCCUUGUGCUUGCCUCCAUCCCCCUCCAGGUGUCGCUCAUCUUCCCCAUUAUCCCCUGGGUACUUAUACAUGUGUUCUCUGUUUGUCUGUUGCCAGUUCGUCUUGUUCGUCAAGUUAACCAAUGUUUUGUCUCAGCUUCUGCUUUUCCCCAGUCUCUCGUUUUCUCGCCCUCCUGGUUUUGACCCUUGUCUUUAACCCUUUUGACCCUUUGCCCCUACUCUGGAUUACCGACCUCUGCCUGACCUGACCCUGAGCCUGCCUGCCAUCCUGUACCCUUGCCCCACUACUCUGGAUGAUCGACCUCUGCCUGUCUUGACCUGUUGUUUGCCUGCCCCUGUUGCUGUGAUAAACAUUGUUACUUCAACGCAGUCUGCAUUUUGGUCUUACCUGAAACGUGAUAUCUGAGAGAAAAUGCUGCAUUUUUAAAGUGAAUUAAAGCUCAAAUAUAGGUGUGUUGACUGUGAUAAAG